GACGAACGCUGGCGGCGCGCCUAACACAUGCAAGUCGAACGAGCGAGAGGAGGUUUACUUUCUCAAGCGAGUGGCGAACGGGUGAGUAACGCGUGAGGAACCUGCCUCAAAGAGGGGGACAACAGUUGGAAACGACUGCUAAUACCGCAUAAGCCCACGACCCGGCAUCGGGUAGAGGGAAAAGGAGCAAUCCGCUUUGAGAUGGCCUCGCGUCCGAUUAGCUAGUUGGUGAGGUAAUGGCCCACCAAGGCGACGAUCGGUAGCCGGACUGAGGGGUUGAACGGCCACAUUGGGACUGAGACACGGCCCAGACUCCUACGGGAGGCAGCAGUGGGGAAUAUUGCACAAUGGGGGAAACCCUGAUGCAGCGACGCCGCGUGGAGGAAGAAGGUCUUCGGAUUGUAAACUCCUGUUGUUGAGGAAGAUAAUGACGGUACUCAACAAGGAAGUGACGGCUAACUACGUG
rnacentral:rRNA from 1 species